rnacentral:ncRNA from 1 species
GGUCCCAAGGGUACGGCUGUUCGCCGUUUAAAGUGGUACGCGAGCUGGGUUUAAAACGUCGUGAGACAGUUUGGUCCCUAUCUUCUGUGGGCGUAGGAGAAUUGAGUGGGUCUGUUCCUAGUACGAGAGGACCGGAAUGGACGAUCCCCUAGUGGACCUGUUGUCACGCCAGUGGCAUAGCAGGGUAGCUAUGAUCGGAAUGGAUAACCGCUGAAAGCAUCUAAGCGGGAAACCAGCCACAAGAUAAGUUCUCCCUGUCGCAAGACCUGAAGAUCCCAGGUAGACCACCUGGUAGAUAGGCCGGAAGUGUACGUGCAGUAAUGUAUUCAGCUGACCGGUACUAAUAGAUCGUGAGUCUUAACUCU